GCGGAAUUGAUGGAAUUGGCAGACAUGCAAGAUUUAGGUUCUUGUGCCGAGAGGCGUGUGGGUUCAAGUCCCACAUUCCGCA
rnacentral:tRNA from 1 species